rnacentral:rRNA from 1 species
UUCGGGCUCCGCCGAUCAUCCCACCUUUGUGUACCUACCUCUGUAUGUUUUGGCGGGCCGCGGUUCUCCGCGGCGCCCCCUCCCCGGGGGGUGGCCAGCGCCCAGCCAGAGGACCAUCAAACUCCAGUCAGUAAACGAUGCAGUCUGAAAAACAUUUAAUAAACUAAAACUUUCAACAACGGAUCUCUUGGUUCUGGCAUCGAUGAAGAACGCAGCGAAAUGCGAUAAGUAAUGUGAAUUGCAGAAUUCAGUGAAUCAUCGAAUCUUUGAACGCACAUUGCGCCCUUUGGUAUUCCGAAGGGCAUGCCUGUUCGAGCGUCAUUACAACCCUCAAGCUCUGCUUGGUAUUGGGCACCGUCCUUUGCGGGCGCGCCUCAAAGACCUCGGCGGUGGCGUCUUGCCUCAAGCGUAGUAGAACAUACAUCUCGCUUCGGAGCGCAGGGCGUCGCCCGACCGGACGAACCUUCUGAACUUUCUCAAGGUUGACCUCGGAUCAGGUAGGGAUACCCGCUGAACUUAAGCAUAUCAAUAA